rnacentral:RNase_P_RNA from 1 species
CGACCGCGGGCACAAGGUGAAAACCUGUGCAUGAGGAAAGUCCGGGCUCCAUAGGGCAAGGAUAACGGGUAACGCCCGCCGAAGGCAACUUCAGGAAAAGUGCAACAGAGAUAUACCGCCGCGCCUUCGUUCUUUUGCGUUUAUGACACAAGAGGACGAGCAAGCCAAGCUUGAGGCGUCGGUAAGGGUGGAAAGGCGAGGUAAGAGCUCACCCGACGGCAUGGAAGUGACCGUCGCUGUAAACUCUAUCCGGAGCAACACCGUGGAGAGAACAAUGCCUGCCCGGCAGUUCUCGAGGAGGUGGCUUGAGCGUAUCGGCAACGAUGCGCCUAGAUAGAUGGUCGUUCACGACAGAACCCGGCUUACAGGCACACUUG